UGACAUUCUGGAGGUCUAGUGGAAAAUGAAGCCAGGCAGGUGCUGUGGGACUUACAUAGUCUGAACAAAUGAAUGGAUUGAGGAGUGUGCAGCUGAAAGAAACAUGUCUCCCCUCCCUCAUUCUCCCCAUGCGUUCCUCAGAUGAUCCUACACCUCACCCUUAUAAAGCAGAUGACCGAUUACUCCUACAAUGAUCCAGCUGUUACAGAUUAUAACAAAGGAGAUGAAUGUACACAAGUCACCAUAUAAUAAUUAGUCAAAUAAAACAAGUCAGAGGAUACUAAUUAAUCAAUUAAGCCAAGAUAGCAGCUAGAUAAAUGUAAUAGUUUGAACAUAUACAUACAUGUGGCAAUUAAUACAACACAAACAUCAAAGAAUGUGUAUUUAUCUUUCUGACCAAUCCACAUGUUCCACAGUACUCCUCUGCAGUAUAACAAUCUCCUGGACAACUUUAAAGGAAGACAUACUUUAUUAGAUUAGAUAAAAAGAAGGUUUGAAAUGUUGUAAAAUGCUUUUACUUACAAUUUAUUUCUAUAUAGUGACAAAAUUAUUCAAAAAAUAAUGUUGAGCUGUAUCCAUAUCCCAUAACUGAG